rnacentral:lncRNA from 1 species
UUCUAAUUCUCUGCUUCCAGUGAAAGUGGAGAACAAAGGAAGUGGAAGAGAUACACCCAAAGACCCAUCCUUCUAAUGUGGAAAUGAGUUUAGAAUGGUUUGGCAAAGACCUCUGUGAAUGGAGCCAGGUUGUGGAUCUGACUCUCCAGUUGAAUAUCUAUUCUUUCAGGUCAUUAUUUUUUGGAGUUUGCCUUUCUCUGCACAUCGUGCUCCACGAUCAGCCAAGAGCCCCCAGGACUCCAGGGCCAUUUCCACAGUACCUCCUCAUACAGGAAAUCCUGCUGCAGCUGUGGUGAUUGAAAAGCUUUUGAACAAACACUGGGAUGUGCUACCAGAGGUAUCAGAAGUGAAAGACUGACCAGGCAUUCAUCACAUGAGAAGAGGAAAACUCUUAGUGCCUAGCACAAUUUCUGCCUAAGACAUUAAUGCAAAAUGUACAGUUUGAUGAUAUGCAGUCAGAGGACUGGUACAGCCUGAAGGUACAACCAGUUAGAGUUCAUUCAAUCAGUGGGAGGGAAAAGACCUAUGCAUUAAUGUAGAAUGUGCUAUAAUCUGCAUUAACGUAGAUGCACUCUGAUCUAUGUUAGUGUAGACCACUAUAAAAAGAGGGCAGGAGGAAAAGGAAAUGUGCAUCAAACUGGGGAGUGGAAGAGGAGGUAGUACCAGAAGCACUCUUCCUAAGGAUGUUAAUUAUACAUUUUGCAGAUAUGUUUCAAAAAACUAAACAAGAAAACCAAAACCAACCAAUCAACCAAGAAAACCCCAAAACCCAGCAAAAAAUAGAAGUGUUGUUCUUUAAAACUUUGUAAACUGUUUUUGGACACAUUAAGUUUGUAUUUUGGGUGAUCAGUUUGUUGGAGAGCAGAAAGAAGUUAAUACAGACAGUUGAAGGAGGAAGGAGAAGUAAUAACAUUUAGCUCAUUGCCUUUUUGUUUAUCAUAUUCAUACAGUGUCUAGGACAGCUCAUUCUGACCAGAGAAAAGGUUGGCUGAUGGAGCACAGUGGGGAAGUUGCAGAUUUGCCACUUCCUCGCAGCAAGCAGCAAGCUCAGUGACUGAACAGGCAGUUGCUGUCCUGCUGCAUGUUCCUGUGCUGGCUCCCAGACCUAGUGUGUGCUGUAUACCUCACAAACAUCUCAUGAGAUGCCUUCUGAGAAUGACUCAGCCCACAAGAACCUGGGUGGCAAAAAAAUUCUCUCAGGAGGACGAAGGGGCCAACCAGCAGACACUCAUCCAGGUGAAGUGGUAGUGGUCUUCUGUGAUGGAGUGAACACACUCAUGGAUAAGGGAAAAGCUACAGAUCUGGGGCAAUAUUCCCCACAACAUCCUUUGCUCUAAAUGGGAGAGAAGUGGGUUUGAUGGAACUAUUCAAUGGAAGUGGAAUUGGUUGGACUGGCAUAUCUAGAUGGUAGUAGUCAAUGGCUUAAUGUCCCUAUGGGCCUCAGAGAAAAGUGGUGUUUCUUGGGGGCCCAUACUGGAACAAGUGCCAUCUUUGCCAAGGACAUAAGACAGAGGGAUCUAGUGCACCCUCAGCAAAAUUGGGGGUGACACCAUGUUGCAGAAUUUCUGAGAGAGAGAGGGCAUGAUUUAUGUCUGGAAUGAGAUUUGAGCUACUCCAGCCUAGGCCUCAGAUAUGGGCCUUGUGAGAACUUGAAAGCGUAUAACGCAGUAAGAAAAAGAGCUUGUGGCACAGUUAGAAAUUAUAUUAAGGUGUGGAUGUGACGCACACCUUUCUGGGUGUGAAUUAGUAUAGGUUUAUAGUGUGGAGUUUAGUCCACCUUAAGACAAAGACAAACAAUGUUAGCUUGCCAAUGAGAGUGCCUUUGUAAACCGUAAACUAUAUUGAAGUGUAUAUAAACUGCCAUCUUCUAACUAAUAAACGGAGAACGUUUGAUUGACCACAUUGGCCUGAUCUGUGUUUGUCCUGUCCAGUUUUCUAGUCUUACAAGGUCCCUGGCUUUGACACCAUGCUGAGCAGGAGGCAUAUAUGAGGAGUGUAAUGCCAUCAAGAGGGACCUGGACAAGCUCAACAAGUUGGCCCACAGGAACCUCAACAGCUUCAACAAAGCUGGGGUUACAGCUCAGAAAGCCAACUGUGUCCUGAGCUGCAUCACCAGCAACGUGGGCAGCAGGUGUGUCUUCACUCUGCUCUGUGAGACACCACCCGGAACAUUACAUCCAGCUCUGUGUCCUCCCAGCAUAGGAAGGACACGGACCUAUUAGAGUAAGUGCCGAGGAGGCCACCAAGAUGAUCAGAUGGAUGGAAUGCCUAUGCUAUGAGGGACAGGCAAGAGAACUGGGCUUGUUCAGUUUGGAGAAGAUAAGGCUCUGGGAGACCUUACAGCCCUUUCCGGUACCUAAAGGGGCUACAAGAGGGCUGGACAGGGACACUACAAAGAUCUAUAGUGAUAGAAGGGGAAAUGGCUUCAAACUGAGAGAAGACAGGGUUAGAUUAGAUGUUAGGAAGAAAUUCUUGAUUGUGAGGGUGCUGAAGCACUUGCAUAGCCUGCCUAAAGAAGCUGCAUCUGUCCCUUCCCUAGGAGUGUUCAAGGCCAGGUUGGACAGUGCUUGGACAACCUUGGACAAGGUGGCCCUGUCCACGGCACAGGGGUUGCAACUAGCUGGUCUUUAGUAUCCCUGAAAUCCCAAAGCAUUCUAUGAUUCUGGGAUUUCGGGUAAACCAAGUAGCUUUCCUCAUAUUGGUGACUCAUGCUGUUUACUGCAUGUUUCAACCUCCAGGCCAGCAAUUCUUCAAGAAACAUAAAAACUACAUUUCUCUUUCAAAAUCUCAAAAGAUAUUAUAAAGCUCCAUGCUUUCAAAUUUUUUUUUUUUUUUUACUAGAACAGUAAACCAUUAGUGUUGUGCAUAACAAGA